rnacentral:rRNA from 1 species
GACGAACGCUGGCGGCGUGCCUAAUACAUGCAAGUCGAACGAAGCUGUUUUAACUGGUGCUUGCACCGACUUAAACAACUGAGUGGCGAACGGGUGAGUAACACGUGGGUAACCUGCCCCAAAGCGGGGGAUAACAUCUGGAAACAGAUGCUAAUACCGCAAAAUCACAGAAACCACAUGGUUUCUGUGUCAAAGAUGGUUUCGGCUAUCACUUUCGGAUGGACCCGCGGCGUAUUAGCUAGUUGGUAAGGUAAUGGCUUACCAAGGCAAUGAUACGUAGCCGAACUGAGAGGUUGAUCGGCCACAUUGGGACUGAGACACGGCCCAAACUCCUACGGGAGGCAGCAGUAGGGAAUCUUCCACAAUGGACGAAAGUCUGAUGGAGCAACGCCGCGUGAGUGAAGAAGGUUUUCGGAUCGUAAAACUCUGUUGUCAGAGAAGAACGUGUGCGAGAGUAACUGUUCGUGCAGUGACGGUAUCUGGCCAGAAAGCCACGGCUAACUACGUGCCAGCCGCCGCCGUAA